CCUACGGGAGGCAGCAGUGGGGAAUAUUGGACAAUGGGCGAAAGCCUGAUCCAGCAAUGCCGCGUGAGUGAUGAAGGCCUUAGGGUUGUAAAGCUCUUUUACCAGGGAUGAUAAUGACAGUACCUGAGAAUAGUCAGUCGCUAACUCCGUGCCAGCAGCC
rnacentral:rRNA from 1 species